rnacentral:rRNA from 1 species
UACAGAGGGUGCAAGCGUUGUUCGGAAUUACUGGGCGUAAAGGGCGCGUAGGCGGCUCAUGAAGGCUGUGGUGAAAGUCCGGGGCUCAACCUCGGAUCGGCCGUGGCGACUCGUGGGCUGGAGCACUGUAGAGGCGGGUGGAAUUCCGGGUGUAGCGGUGGAAUGCGUAGAGAUCCGGAAGAACACCAGUGGCGAAGGCGGCCCGCUGGGCAGUGGCUGACGCUGAGGCGCGAAAGCGUGGGGAGCGAACCGG